UCCUUAUCUGCAACUUUCUCUCACCUGCACUUUCAUCAGCCGGCUGGUGUAGGACUUGAAGUAAGACAGAUACACUUUACUCAUAGUCUCCACAUACACAGCCUGGAU